GUGUGUAUGCAGUUUGUGUGUGUGUGUGUGCAGUGUGUAUGCAGGGUGUGUGUGUAGUGUAUGCAGUGUGUGUGUAAGUGUAGUGUAUGUAGUGUGUGUGUGUGUGUGCAGUGUGUGAGUGUGAGUGUGUGUGUGUGUGCAGUGUGUAUGCAGGGUGUGUGUGUAGUGUAUGCAGUGUGUGUGUAAGUGUAGUGUAUGUAGUGUGUGUGUGUGUGUGCAGUGUGUGAGUGUGAGUGUGUGUGUGUGCAGUGUGUAUGCAGGGUGUGUGUGUAGUGUAUGCAGUGUGUGUGUAAGUGUAGUGUAUGUAGUGUGUGUGUGUUUGUGUACUGUGUGUGCAAUGUGUAUACAGUGUGUGUGUUUGUGUACUGUGUAUGCAGUGUGUGUGUGUAUGCAGGGUGUAUGCAGUGUGUGUAUGUAUGUAUGCACUGUGUGUGUACUUGCAGGGUGUGUGUGU
rnacentral:lncRNA from 1 species